CUACGGGUCGCUGCAGUCGAGAAUCUUCCGCAAUGGACGAAAGUCUGACGGAGCGACGCCGCGUGCGGGAUGAAGGCCUUCGGGUUGUAAACCGCUGUCAGUGGGGAGGAAAUGCAUCAGGGUUCUCCCUGGUGUUUGACCGAUCCGCAGAGGAAGCGCAGGCUAAGUUCGUGCCAGCAGCCGCGGUAACACGAACUGCGCGAACGUUAUUCGGAAUCACGGGGCUUAAAGAGUUCGUAGGCGGCCUUUCAAGUCGGGUGUGAAAUCCCUCGGCUCAACCGAGGAAUUGCGCCUGAUACUGUUGGGCUUGAGGGGGAUAGGGGUGAGCGGAACUGAUGGUGGAGCGGUGAAAUGCGUUGAUAGCAUCAGGAACACCGGUGGCGAAGGCGGCUCACUGGAUCUCUUCUGACGCUGAGGAACGAAAGCUAGGGGAGAGAACGGGAUUAGAUACCCGGGUAGUC
rnacentral:rRNA from 1 species